AGGCGUGGUUUGAAUGUGGCGCUCUGGAAAAUUCGAUGGAUUAUCAGGUUAAAAGGAAACGUCUUGAAAUAAAUGAUGAAGGGACCAAUGCCAGGAAUACUACUCUAGUAGUGUCGCACUUUAUUGUCCAGAAUGUUCGCAGGACAUGCUACUGAGGAGAUGGGCCAUAGGUGAGUCCUUUCUGCCUAAGAGGUGGGAUAGGGCUUGGAUCAUCACACACCACCGUUGCUUCAGUCUACUGUCACUGUCAACAUCCCAGGAUAUAACAGGUUAUGUCCGGUCAGGUUUAUGAGGCUGGCUGGCACCAUCUGGGAAAGAAUGACCAGGGCUCUCUUGACUUCAAGGCCUUCAAACCUCAACAGUAAAAAGUGACUGCAGUGGAUGGUGAUCUUAUUAUCUCAGUUAUACAGAGAUCUCUUUAAUUGUGUGCAUGUUGGAGGGUUCAAUCAAUUCCUUUUAUUGAACUCAGGAUCUGAGUCAAGAUUCAAUGGUCGUGGACAGGCAAAACGGUCAAAACCAGUUCAGAGUCCAAAGGGUACCGAAGGGCAGGCAGAAUCAAGGUCAGGCCAGGCAGGAUGAUCAGGCAGGCAGGAAAGAAGCCCAGAGUCAGGCAGGGGUCAAAACUAGGACUAGCGAAAAGAGAAUAGCAAAAGUUCUUCCACACCGAUCUCAACACACCAUUUUUGUAUGGGUCUUGGUUUGUGCCCGGGGGCAUUGUCAUGCUGAAACAGGAAAGGGCCUUCCCCAAACUGUUGCCACAAAGUUGAAAGUACAGAAUCAUCUAGAAUGUCAUUGUAUGCUGUAGCGUUAAGAUUUUCCUUCAGUGGAACUAAGGGGCCAAGCCCGAACCAUAAACUGUCCCAGACUAUUAUUCUUCCUCCACCAAGCUUUACAGUUGGCACUAUGCAUUCGGGGCAGGAAGUGUUCUCCUGGCAUCUACCAAUCCCAACUUUGUCUGUCGGACUGCCAGAUGGUGAAGCGUGAUUCAUCACUCCAGAAAAUCACUCCACUGCUCUAGACGUUCACUUCACAAUAACAGCACUUACAGUUGACCGGGGCAGCUCUAGUAGUGCAGAAAUUUGAUGAACUGACUUGUUGGAAAGGUGGCAUGCUAUGACGGUGCCAUGUUGAAAGUCACUGAGCUCCUCAGUAAGGUCAUUCUACUGCCAAUGUUUGUCUAUGGAGAUUGCACGGUUGUAUGCUCGAUUUUAUACACCUGUCAGCAACGGGUGUGGCUGAAAUAGCCGAAUCCCCUAAUUUGAAGGGGUGUCCACAUACUUUUGUAUAUAUAGUGUAGUCAUGUUCAUUUGACAGUCUCUGGUGCCAUUGUUGUCAUCACACAGACACAUAUCUAAUCACAUUGCUAUAGACUUGCACAGAAAAUGUAGGGUUGAUGUUUAUUCCUAAAGACUGAAGAAUGAAAAAGAUAUAGAAUCAGAUACACAAUAUAGAAAUAGAAUCACAUAGAAGUCCUAUUUCUGUGGAUACAAAUAGAUUGCCUGGCUACAAUCCAUAUAGAUUCCCUUUUAUACAACACCAGACAAUGAAUUCCAGUCCAGCCCCUAGCCAGACAAUUUUUAAAAAGACAAGUAGUUAUGUAACUGACACAACCCUCUGGAUGAUGUGCCUUUAAGACUAGUGACUAGUCAGGUGACCAAGGAGAGGAGGUUCGGCUCCAUCAGCUCAGCUCACAGCCAGGCAGAGAGCGAGAGAGAAACCUGAGGAAAGAUCGAUUAUAGAGGAGAGGAAGAGAGAGACAGAAAAAAGGGAGCGAGACCCAAUUAAAUGGGGACACAGGAUCCGUCACGAUCAGAGAGAAAGGGGUGUACAGAGUGGGAAGUGGCAAACUGGUAGCAAGGUCCCUUUAACUGCAGCCCUGUGCUCAGCUGUCUGUGUGGCUGCCAGCAGUGUGUUGGUGUGUCAAGUUCUUUAAGAAGCUGCUGCAUGUGUUUUGUGUAUAGCCACAACAGUGGCACCUGAGAAAGCCCAGAGAAUUAGUGCUGCGUCAUACCACACUUUAUAUUUCUCGAACGAUCUUAGCAAUCUCUUUCUGUGUGUGGUCUGAUCUGUUGGCGUGUAUCAGUGCAAACUAGCCGAAAAUAGAGAGAGUGUGUAUACGCGUGUUUGAGUCAGGCAGGGAGAGAGGGAGGGAGGCAGUCAGAGAGAUUUUGGAUUAGUUGCUACGUCACUUUUUCAUGUCGAGGGGGGGAAACAGAAUCUAAGAUAACAGAAGCCCAGAGUCAUCCGGUUUUCUACCUGAGAGUUAGAUGCAAUGGUUACGGCAAGAACCUCUGCCUCUUCGGCCUCAUCCGUAGAGCUUAUUACCAGCUUCUCCCUCAGCCUCUACAUCUGUACAAUAGUUCAUCUGGAAUUGCAGAGAAGACUUCCAACAUGGAUGCUGAAGAUGAGACACAGUUAGUUUGUGUGGGUGUUUUGAUUGACAUUGAUUAUGAGGUCAGAGUAGAGGGUGGGAAGGGGUUAACAAAAGAACGUUCCGGAAGGUUCUUAUUAUCGAGACGAAGCGCUUGGGGAGCGUAUUCUAGGAAUUAUCGAGGUAAUCGAAUAUUGCUAUUAUAUGGUUACAUAUAUACCAAUACGUGAUUACAUAAAUCAUUAUGUAGAUAUAUAUAUAUAUAUAUAUGUGUGUGUGUGUAAUCCGUGUUGUCUGCCUGUCUGUAACAGGAAUGGAGCUGGUUCGGCUGUAAUAAAAUGUCAUCAUAGGAUACCUUUUCUCCCAUAGUACCUGCUAUUGCGUAUAUGGUCCAAAUCAGGCAAUAACGUUUGUUGAUAUUGCUACGCAGCAUAUUUGUCUGUUACUUGUGAUUAACUCUUCAUAGGGUCGAAGGCAGGAAGGAGGAUGAGAGUGAACCGGGAUCGAGUAAACCAGGGAUCAACCUGGGCUUAUUUUGUUAAUAAGGAAGCCAACAGGAGACCUAUUUGGAGCCUUUAUCUUGUAGCAGACCAGUAUUAUCAUGGGAUUUGUUUUCUGUCUCUAGGGCGGCUGGCUGGGGUUUAGUGGAAACCCUCCCUAAAACAUUGUUUCUAUGUAGUUAGUACAGACUGAAACAGAGGUGGUGUUGUUUCUGCGUCGUUAGUACAAACUGAAACAGAGGGGUGUUGUUUCUGCGUAGUUAGUACAGACUGAAACAGAGGUGGUGUUGUUUCUGCGUAGUUAGUACAGACUGAAACAGAGGGGUGUUGUUUCUGCGUAGUUAGUACAGACUGAAACAGAGGGGUGUUGUUUCUGCGUAGUUAGUACAGACUGAAACAGAGGGGUGUUGUUUCUGCGUAGUUAGUACAGACUGAAACAGAGGUGGUGUUGUUUCUGCGUAGUUAGUACAGACUGAAACAGAGAUUGUGACGCAGUCAUCUACUGAGAUGUACUUCUAUGACAGAAUGGCUCAUGACUGUCCCUGUGUUAUUCUCUCCCUCUCUCGCUGGCUCUCUUUCUCUCCCUCUUGUUCUUUCUUUCUCUCCUGUCUGUUCUUCCUUUCUCUCUCUCUCUCUCGUUCUUGUUCUCUAUCUCUGGAUGGGAGGGAGCAGCAAUUGGGGUUUAAAUGUCAUGGCUCGAGUUCAGAAAGAGAGAGGAACAGAGAAGGAGAAGUUGUUUACCUUGCUUUCUUGGGGACUGCACUGGCAGCUGUCCAGUUCAUAUGCACUAGACUUCCUAUAACUGCUGCAUCACAGGCCUGAGUGCCAGAGCUGGCCUCCCGUUGGGUGGGAGGACCUCCCCAGACUCUGGUGGCAGCACAAUGCUAUUGGACGAGCAGAAGGGAGCAGGUGGUGGACAGCUUCUGACUGGUGAAGUAGUGUUAUCGUGCAGUACGUUUUUUUAAUGUUGUAUGCGUUCUACAGGGGUACUAAUAAAAUGUGUACAGUAACAGUACAUGGUUUUAUUUUACAUUGUUCCUUAUCUACAGUAAUAUAAGCUGUAUGUACUGUAUAUUACAAUGUAUUACAUUGUUAGUCCUUGGCUGAAAGGAGCGGAAACAUGAGCACUGUAGGUAAACACGAGUGUGUAUCUGUUUACUAAGCUCCAGUAAUGUCUUGUGUAAUGUGUUCUCACAGUCUGAUUGGUUUGGGUGUACUACGUCAUGUUGACAUUGAUCAGCCCCUGUCUUUUUCCUGUUAUGCUGGGGGCCAAACACAGUCCACUUCCUGUUCUGUCUGGACUCUGUACCAAUCGCUUCUCCUCCCCUUCCCAGAGGGAAGUCUAUACUUACUUAGUGUUUGAUUUUGUUGCUCUACUACGAUUGUGGUCCGUGAGAUGGGGAGCAACGGAGGGUUCUCUGAACUGGCAUUCUGUGAUGUCACAAACCUGCCACAUUGCUACUUUCUAAAGUGAUGCAAGAACGACUGUGUUUGUCAAGGGUCUGCAUUGCAUCCACUACUGCUGCAGUUGGCGCCUCUCUCUCCGUCUCAGAAACACACACUCGCAUUCACAAGACGAGUGUGAUACACACCCAUAAAGAAAACACAUACUGAGUUGGGCUUGCGCAAACUGCAAGGCUUUGAGGCUGAGGGUUCCACAGCUGGUGUCACCCCAUGGGGGUCAUUUCUUAUGAAUGACGAUGCAACAAGAAAGCGCUUGCCUGACAGUGUGUGGUGGGGACACACACAGCAUGUCAUUAGAUGGGCACAGGGAGAGGAGACCCAUACCCCAGUGUUUGAGUGUGUCGUUUCACUUUCUUUUCUCACUAGUAGGCAGUCGUGAAAUAGCUUUUUGAAUAGAUAUCUAUGAGCAUUUUGCCAUGGUAGAUAUGAUUUUAUCCUGAAUGGGUGAAUGUUUCUAAUCUCAAUUAAUAUUCACGUCAGGGUGUAAAAAAAUAUAAACCCAGCAUGCAACAAUUUGAACGAUUUUACUGAGUUACAGUUCAUAUGAGGAAAUCCGUCAAUUGAAAUACAUUUAUUAGGCCCUAAUCUAGGGAUUUCACAUGACUGGGAAUACAGAUAUGCAUCUGUUGGUCACAGAUACCUUUAAAAAAAGGCAGGGGAGUGGAUCAGAAAACCAGUCAGCAUCAGUGUGACCACCAUUUGCCUCAUGCAGUGCGACACAUUUCCUUCAUAUUGUCACGCCCUGGCCUUAGUAUUCUUUGUUUUCUUUAUUAUUUUAGUUAGGUCAGGGUGUGACAUGGGUAUUUAUGUGGGUUUUGUAGUGUUCAGGGUGAUUGUAAGGUUUAGGGGGUUUAUUUAGAGUAGUUGGGUUUAUGUUGUUUAUGCUGUCAGAGCAGCUCAUAGAUUACUGCACCUGUACAUAGCCCAUCUAUAAUUUAGCCCAAACAACUACCUCUUUACCUACUGUAUUUAUUUAUUUUGCUCCUUUGCACCCCAUUAUUUCUAUCUCUACUUUGCACCUUUUUCCACUGCAAACCAACCAUUCCAGUGUUUUUUUUACUUGCUGUAUUGUAUUUACUUCGCCACCAUGGCCUUUUUAUAUUUUUAUUUAUUUAUAUAUAUAUUUUGUUUGCCUUCACCUCCCUUAUCUCACCUCACUUGCUCAUAUUGUAUAUAGACUUAUUUUUCACUGUAUUAUUGACUGUAUGUUUGUUUUACUCCAUGUGUAACUAUGUGUUGUUGUAUGUGUCGAACUGCUUUGCUUUAUCUUGGCCAGGUCGCAAUUGUAAAUGAGAACGUGUUCUCAAUUUGCCUACCUGGUUAAAUAAAGGUGAAAUAAAUAAAUAAAAAUAAAUGUUUAGUAUAGUUGUCUA